rnacentral:rRNA from 1 species
AAACUAACUAGGAUGCCUUCAGUAACGGCGAGCGAAGCAGGCAUAGCUCAAAUUUGUAAUCUGGCGUCUUUGACGUCCGAGUUGUAUUUUCUAGAAGCGAGUUCGGUGACAGCUCCUACCCAAGUCCGUUGGAACGCGGCGUCAUGGAGGGUGAGAAUCCCGUGAAUGGUAGGAUGUCUGCUGCUAUGUGAACCGCCUUCGAAGAGUCGAGUUGUUUGGGAAUGCAGCUCUAAAUGGGAGGUAAAUUUCUUCUAAAGCUAAAUAUUGGCCAGAGACCGAUAGCGAACAAGUAGAGUGAUCGAAAGAUGAAAAGAACUUUGAAAAGAGAGUUAAACAGUACGUGAAAUUGUUGAAAGGGAAGCGCUUGAGAUCAGACUUCCUGUCUAAACUGUCCUUGCUUCUGCUUGGGUUCACAGUUUAGGCGUGGAGGCCAGCAUCAGUUUUGACGGCUGGACAAAGACUUUGGGAAGGUAGCUCUCUUCGGGGAGUGUUAUAGCCCAGGGUGUAAUACAGCCAGUUGGGACUGAGGACCGCGGUUUAUACCUAGGAUGCUGGCGUAAUGGUCUUAAGCGAC